rnacentral:rRNA from 1 species
CGCAGCUAUAAUGCAGUCGAGCGGUAAGGCCCUUCGGGGUACACGAGCGGCGGACGGCUGAGUAACGCGUGGGAACAUGCCCCAAAGUGAGGGAUAACGCACCGAAAGGUGUGCUAAUACCGCAUAUGGUCUUCGGAUUAAAGGAUUUAUCCGCUUUGGGAGUGGCCCGCGUACGAUUAGAUUGUUGGUGAGGUAAUGGCUCACCAAGUCGACGAUCGUUAACUGGUCUGAGAGGAAGAUCAGUCAGACUGGAACUGAGACACGGUCCAGACUCCUACGGGAGGCAGCAGUAAGGAAUCUUCCACAAUGGGCGAAAGCCUGAUGGAGCAACGCCGCGUGCAGGAUGAAGGCCCUCGGGUCGUAAACUGCUUUUAUGAGUGAAGAAUAUGACGGUAACUCAUGAAUAAGCACCGGCUAACUACGUGCCAGCAGCCGCGGUCAUACGUAGGGUGCAAGCAUUAUCCGGAGUGACUGGGCGUAAAGAGUUGCGUAGGUGGUUAGUAAAGUGAAUAGUGAAACCUGGUGGCUCAACCAUACAGACUAUUAUUCAAACUCACUAACUCGAGAGUGGUAGAGGUAACUGGAAUUUCUUGUGUAGGAGUGAAAUCCGUAGAUAUAAGAAGGAACACCAAUGGCGUAGGCAGGUUACUGGACCAUUUCUGACACUAAGGCACGAAAGCGUGGGGAGCGAACCGGAUUAGAUACCCGGGUAGUCCACGCCGUAAACGAUGGAUACUAGCUGUUGGAGGUAUCGACCCCUUCAGUAGCGAAGCUAACGCGUUAAGUAUCCCGCCUGUGGAGUACGGUCGCAAGACUAAAACAUAAAGGAAUUGACGGGGAUCAGCACAAGCGGUGGAUUAUGUUCUUUAAUUCGAUGAUAACCGAUGAACCUUACCAGGGUUG